AACUUUCAACAAUGGAUCUCUUGGUUCUGGCAUCGAUGAAGAACGCAGCGAAAUGCGAUAAGUAGUGUGAAUUGCAGACUUUAGUGAAUCAUCGAAUCUUUGAACGCACAUUGCGCCCCUUGGUAUUCCAUUGGGCAUGCCUGUUCGAGCGUCAUU
rnacentral:rRNA from 1 species